rnacentral:rRNA from 1 species
CGGCGUGGAUUAGGCAUGCAAGUCGAGCGGGAUUAUUCCUUCGGGAAUAUGAGAGCGGCAAACGGGUGCGUAACACGUGAGCAACCUACCCUUAAGUCGGGAAUAGCCCGGGGAAACCCGGAUUAAUGCCGGAUGUGGUGGUCCUCCGCAUGGUGGACCUACUAAAGCUAGUAUUGGCGCUUAGGGAUGGGCUCGCGGCCUAUCAGCUUGUUGGUGAGGUAACGGCUCACCAAGGNUAAGACGGGUAGCUGGUCUGAGAGGAUGAUCAGCCACACUGGGACUGAGAUACGGCCCAGACACCUACGGGUGGCAGCAGUUUCGAAUCGUUCGCAAUGCCCGAAAGG